UCCGGAAUUAUUGGGCGUAAAGCGCGCGUAGGCGGUUUUUUAAGUCUGAUGUGAAAGCCCACGGCUCAACCGUGGAGGGUCAUUGGAAACUGGAAAACUUGAGUGCAGAAGAGGAAAGUGGAAUUCCAUGUGUAGCGGUGAAAUGCGCAGAGAUAUGGAGGAACACCAGUGGCGAAGGCGACUUUCUGGUCUGUAACUGACGCUGAUGUGCGAAAGCGUGGGGAUCAAACAGGAUUAGAUACCCUGGUAGUCCACGCCGUAAACGAUGAGUGCUAAGUGUUAGGGGGUUUCCGCCCCUUAGUGCUGCAGCUAACGCAUUAAGCACUCCGCCUGGGGAGUACGACCGCAAGGUUGAAACUCAAAGGAA
rnacentral:rRNA from 1 species